rnacentral:rRNA from 1 species
UACAGAGGUCUCAAGCGUUGUUCGGAUUCAUUGGGCGUAAAGGGUGCGUAGGCGGCGCGGUAAGUCGGGUGUGAAAUCUUGGAGCUUAACUCCGAAACUGCAUUCGAUACUGCCGUGCUUGAGGACUGGAGAGGAGAUUGGAAUUCACGGUGUAGCAGUGAAAUGCGUAGAGAUCGUGAGGAAGACCAGUGGCGAAGGCGGAUCUCUGGACAGUUCCUGACGCUGAGGCGCGAAGGCCAGGGGAGCAAACGGG